rnacentral:lncRNA from 1 species
AUUAGCUAAACACAAAUAUAAUCAUGAAUUCAUGGAAUUAUUCCUCAUCAGACAAAGUGUUUCACUCAAUCACUCAAGUGUUUCAAACAGUUACUCCAUCCCUCUACCAUCCACAUGUCACAUAGAACAAAAUUGUCUUUCAUUUGCCACAAUCAAACAUCAUCACAUACACAUGUCAUCACAAGGACUUUUCAAGGCUUAUAAUAUAGUUGGGCUAACAAGGAAAAUUGGUUUUUCUAGAUCACAAAAUCCUUGAGUUAAGAGAGUCAUUCAAAUAAUUAUGGUUCAAGCACAAACUCUCUUUUUACCAAUCUCACUCAUUCCCAACUUUCCCUUUUCUUCACAUUAGCUUUUCUUUUCAUGCUUAUCUUUUCUAUCUUUUCUUUCUUUUCUCAUGCAUUUUCAUUCAACACAUUAGCUCAAUGCCUAACUUUUUUUUUUCUUUUUCAAUUCUCCCAUAACCCCAAACUUGAACCUUUCUAUAAAUUCCUUGUUGUAAAAACCGCAACCAUUAUAGUGCAUUUGCUUUCGGGUGGAAGGACACUGGAUGUAGGCAUUGUUGGCCGAACCAGUACAAAAACUUGUGUUUGAAUUUCUCUAUCCCUUAUCUUUUACAUUCCAGUCGACUCUAUUUCUAACGUAGUCUACUACGUUUUUUCCGCUGCAUACAUUUUCUGAUUGCUUGCAUUUCAAGAAACUUUAAAAAGCUUUAUACUUUGAUUGAAAGAUUGCAAAAAGAACAUAUUUUUGAAACAUCACCAAUUCACCUCCCU